GGAGGAGUGUCAGAGCCAGGUUUAUUGUGCCGACCUUAAAAAUCGGUGUAGGUUUCAGGGAUGUGCCUACCGUGGGUUCAAAUCCCACCUCCUCCA
rnacentral:tRNA from 1 species